rnacentral:rRNA from 1 species
AUACGGAGGAUGCGAGCGUUAUCCGGAUUUAUUGGGUUUAAAGGGAGCGUAGGUGGGAUAUUAAGUCAGCUGUGAAAGUUUGGGGCUCAACCUUAAAAUUGCAGUUGAUACUGGUUUCCUUGAGUACGGUACAGGUGGGCGGAAUUCGUGGUGUAGCGGUGAAAUGCUUAGAUAUCACGAAGAACUCCGAUCGCGAAGGCAGCUCACCGGGCCGGAACUGACACUGAUGCUCGAAAGUGCGGGUAUCAAACAGGAUUAGAUACCCUGGUAGUCCGCACAGUAAACGAUGAAUACUCGCUGUUUGCGAUACACUGUAAGCGGCCAAGCGAAAGCGUUAAGUAUUCCACCUGGGGAGUACGCCGGCGACGGUGAAACUCAAAUGAAUUGACGGGG